GCAUGACACAGCAGAACCGCAGCUGCUGCAGCAAUUUCAAGCCAUCCGCCCAGGAAGCGCCGCAACCGGGACUCGGGAGGGGUGGAGGGGGCGAGGCAGAGGCCGCGGCCCCAGGGGAUCCUUGGCCCCACUGUGCACCACACACUCCUUUCCCAGCCCAGGGGCACGCGAACAAAAUGAGGCUCAAGCUGACCAGGCCGAGCCGGAGGAACGCUGGGGCUUGGCAGCAGAAGGGAUGGGACCAGAGAGAAGGGUGUGGAGGAGACCCCAGUGAGGGCCAGGACAUUUCAGGUAAAGAGAGGUAAGAAGAGGCCCAGAAGUCAAGGGCCAGACUGUGAAGGUGAUUAGAGGUCAAAAGAGGUCAUAUCUCCGUACCUCACUUCCUGACACAAACAAGUUUUCACUGUUGUCAGCAACAAAGCCCUAAUAUAGCUGCGGAAGAGAAAAACUGCAUUGCAUUUUGCCUCCUGCAAGCAUCAUCAACAGUUACUGGAGGAACGUAAUUCCAGAAAGCUUGAAAGCCGUGGUGAUGGUAAUUAUGUAUCAAAUGCCUGGUUCUAUUUCUGUUAUUAUUGUUUUGUCAUUUCUGUUUUCCCAGCGAUCUGACUGAACUCGCAGAGGGACAAAUCCAGUUUUUCUUUUUGACUUUUGUCAAACUAAAUCAGGCCUGAUAGAAAACUCAUUGCUCUCCGGGGAAACAAAGUAGGAGCCACGAAAUGUCAUUUUAACAGAGCGUGGGUUUGGUGACUGUAGGAAAGGAUUUGAGGACGCUCCUUCUGUUCGGCUUCCUAUGUCAUGAGCACAGGCUCCACGCACGCACAGACACCACGGCUCCCGGAUGCUGUGGCUCCCCGAUCGGGGCUCCUGCAGCGCCAGAAGCCCCUCCGGGAUGCUUCGAGGGGCUCCCGGUGGGUGGAGGUACGGACGCCGCUGCGGCCGCCGCCGCCAGUCCUGCUGCUGUUGUUGCUGCUGCAGUCACGUGGGAGCCCCUUUAAGUUUCCAUAGAGAGGCCUCUCUGGUGUCACAUGAUGGACAUGAUAUAAUGAAACAACAUUGUGGAGAGGAAAGCAUUAGGGGAGCCCACGGCUACAAAAACAAGUGAGUGAGAAGAGGUGGGAGGAAGAGAAACUACGCCACCUCCCCUGCAGCCGAGUGCACGCAGCAGCCUGGCGUGACAAGUGGGCGACGCCGGGGGGCAGGGAGCCGGGGUCCUUGGCCCUGGCCGGGGACCCCACCGCCCACCGCGCGGAGGACAACUUUUAGCCGGCAGCCCAGACCAGCGCGGCACCUGUCUCCGGAGUCUCCACCGCUCCUCCCGAUUCAUCCCAGGGAAAUUCUCAAGAAUACGCUCUACAAAUCUACGUGCGCAUCAUUUUCACCUCGCGUCGCGCCCGGGAGGAAGGAACGAGGCAAGGAGCUAAAGCAGCGUGCGUUCAGCCCUGGGGCAUUUUAUUAAUGCUUUUACGAGUUAGAAGAGUUGGGAUAAUUUGCCAUCUGGAGUUUCUCUGCCUUGCUGAUCUGAGCUCAGACCUGCCAAUUUACCAGAGAUAAUUGAUAACACCCUGUAACAGCUGAGAGGAAAAUGGAAGAAACGGAGAUACUUUUAGUGAAGCAGAAUAAACCACUGAACAGGAAAAAUGAGGAAGCUGUGAGUACCAGUGGAAGGAACGAGCCAGGAAGAGGGACUGGAACCAUCUCAGAAGCCAUGCCCCUCAGGCUGGAACUUGCCCUGUCUCCUCGCAGAUGAGACUGAGUGUACUUGGUCUGGUAUUUGUGGCAUAACUUACGGAACACAUAAGAAUGAUACAGAUACUAUUUAAUGAUGACCUAAUACAAGCUUAGAUAGCUAAGGUGAAAGCUUCUAUGGCCUUAACAUUUUCCUCUUGAAGAAUGUAUUUUCUGUAAUAAAAUACAGUGGCUACUUGAAAUCUAUAAACUUAUGUGAGGUCUGGAUAAAUCUGAGCAACUUUCUUCUUUGUGCUCCAGGAACCUACGCACUAUAUAUAUAAAUAAAGCUUAAGUAAACAUCACUGCAAUCUGUGUUUUGUUUGAUUAUAUUACGUAUUGCCUGAUCUUUAAAUAAUGAUGAAAAAUAGCCUUUAACAUAAACCAUGAAUGGAUAUGCACUUGAGGGAAACAGUUUCUUGGAUAAUUAAACUUUAAUUUCUCACCGUGGAUUCCUUGGAUCUUGUAAUAUUUUUUAAAACAGUCCUGGGGAUUUAUUUUUAAGGCGUCCAAAUGAAUUAUUAGUUCUCAAAAGCCAUAGUAUAUUCAUGGGUCGAUAUAUCCUCAAAACACUAUUUUUAAACUGCUUAGUUUAUUUUUCUUAGCGUGCUCAUCUGCUGCAUAAUUUUCUUUGCUAUGUAUGGGUCACAUGCUUCCUCCCGUCCAUAACUCACGCACUUAAAAUUCUCACUUCCUGAUUGAGCCAUCAGAUUACGUAAAAUGUAAAUCAGCCUGAAUACCUAGGAGCAGGAAUUUUAAGGGAGAAAAUGCCGUUUUCUUUUUCUGUGUCAUUAUUAACCCUUAAAUAUCAGAGUGAGUGUCUGCUCACCUAUUUGUAUUUGGAAACGAGAUACUGUUAGGGGUUUUUCUUGGCCCUUCCCUUUCAGAUUGAAUCAGACUUUGCUGCUUUCCUUAUACAAAAUAAUGUACCAACUAGAUAGACGGUGGGAGUGGUAUCGUUGCAGGAAUGAAACCAAAAGGGUUCCGAUGAUUGAGAGAGAUUCAUUUAUUUUUUAACUCUUCUCAUGAUCUGAAUGAAGAGUACAGCAUCUAUCAAAAGGUAACAACCUAAUAUUUCAGAAUUGCAAGUGGCCAUUUAGCCUUUCUGCUGCCUGAUAUAAAUGAAAGUAAUUCCUAGCAGGCAGGAUGACACUUGUUUUAUCACGAAUCUGACAAUCCAGCACAUUUUCUCAAGCAAUUUUGAAGUUGUCGUAGUAACAGCAUGGCAUUUGGAGGGUCUUUUUAGUAGUUCUUUAGCUAGAGUUAAUUAAUUGUAUUAACUCUGGAUGUUUUUCUUUUUACUCCUCUUUGACAAACAAGGGCUAUAAUUGCUCAAAUAUGUAUUUUGUGUUCUAUAUUUUUUGGUGACUAUAGUUUAAGGACGUGAUGUUUUUAAGUGGUUUCAGUAAAAGGUUAUCAGUUGAUUUCAGACACAUUAAACUUGGGUUUUUAAUUUCUCUGUAAAAUUCCACUAUCAUUGUAGGACCAGGAUUUAGUUUUAUUUAAGAAGUGAAUCUGGGGAGAUAUUUGCACAAAUUGAAUUGUGGCUUGCUUCCAGUGGUUGCAACUAUCCGUUGCUUUGAUUUUGGUGUAUUUAGAAAAAGAACUGGGGAAUGCAGAAAGGGAAAUGUGUCAGGCUUACAGGAGAAAAUUGUUUCUUUAGAAAUGCAACAGGCAGGCACACCACCAAAAGCAUGUUCCAUAAAAGAAAACAAAUAAAUUUGAUUUUGUGAAACUUAAGAAUGCAGUGCUCUUUGAAACUCUAAAAUAUACUUAAAUAAAUUCUCCCCUAGGAAGAUUUGUGGGAACUUUUUAUUGGUGGAAAGUAGGUUGGAACUUCUAGUAUUAAUAGUAAAACUCUGUGGCAGAAAUUCUUGCCAAUAUGGCGGUUGGUGAGAAAGGAAUCCCGUUUCUUGGGCAGGGAGAGGGUCAGAAGAAAGAAUUGUCUGUACUCAGUCUGGAUGCCGGGACUUAAAAAGUAUCAGAUAUACAAUGCUUUUGUUUUCUUGUAUAAGUGAACAGAGAGAUGUGACACUUCUAAAAGGUCUUGUGAGUUUUGUGGGUUUAAUGCUAAUGCCACUAUCCUUACUGUUCUGUGAGUAUUUGUUCAGCCACGGGUGAUUCAAGAGAGUUGGGGUAUCAGCAUGUGCAGCCAACAGCAGUCCAGGUGCUAAUGCACCACCGGUGAUGUCAGGAGUUACGAGACAGCGGUUUCCAAACACUGCAGUAAACAAGGUCAAAGUGUCCCGUUUCGCUGGAAGAAGUUUUGUUUUUAUGAGCUGGACAGUACAUGGAUGAAGUAAUUUUUCAAAACAAACUUUAAAUUUAUACAUGUGUUUUUUUUCUUCUUCUCUUUGGAUUAAAAUAAAUUGGCCCGUUGAGAUUAAAUAAUGGUUAUGUUUUUAAGCAGAAUUAUAUUUCAUAUGUUUUUCCAGUCUUUUAUUGAUUUUCUGUUUUUCACAGAAGAAAUGAAAAUAACUUCUGAUGUAGGGUUUCUUAAAUGCAGUUUGAGAGAGCAAGAUAGGAACCAGUACUUUCAAAAUAUGGCAAGUGCAAGUCACAAUCCCUAGUAAGAUAUUCCUUCUCAUUUUGUGCCUUUGACUCUUAUUUAGACAGACGUUUAAGUACGAGAAAGCUAAUGGCGCAGAUUCUGCUGACUGUGUGGCUCUCGUCUUAAUGCGUUUUCCAACCUUGAACCUGAGAAUGCCAGAGGAUUGAGUCUCUGGACGUUCAUCUGAGCAGAUAUCUGCUGGCCGCCUGGUUCCUGAGCUAACAAGUGGGUGUCCCGGGCUUGUGUGUGUAGUCACAACAGUGGAGGUGCCACGUGGCACCCAGAGGUCGACUGGGGCUACCGCGGGGCUUCCCGAUCCUCACAAGUGUGUCUUCAGUGUCUGACAUGAACUGGGAACUUGGGGCAUCUUUAGAAGCACAGACAUUUGGAGUUCCACGGCAAACCUGGAUGUAAGCACUCACACAGCUUUUAAAGUGAAAGCAGGGACCUUGAGGAAGGAAUCGCCGUCAUCUCAUUGCCGACCUGCUUACUGUGCUGGGAAACAAAGACAAGUCCUGCGCUUGGGGAUCCUCUGUACGCCCGUUCACUGGUGCAGGUCUUCUGAACAAAUGCCUCCUGAGGAUUUCUGUGCCUGGAAAAUAUCUGUUAACAGACUGCUUUUACACCUACGUAAGUAGAGGCUUCUGCUUAUAAGUCAACCUCAAGGGAGUUUUAUUUUGUCCCUGGAUGAUUCCUCAGUACAUUUUUCUUUUUCUUUUUUGAGGUAGGGUUUUGCUCUGUUGCCCAGGCUGGAGUACAGUGGUGUGAUCACAACUCACUGCGGCCUCAACCUCCCAGGCUCAAGCGAUCCUCCCACCUCAGCCUCCCAAGUAGCUGGGACCACAGGCGUGUACCACCCACGCCUGGCUAGUUUUUUAAAAUUUCUUUUGUAGAGGCAGAGUCUCCCUGUGUUGCCCUGGUUUCAAACUUGGGCCAAGUGAUUCUCUGCCCCAGCCUCUCAAAGUGCUGGGAUUACAGGUGUGAGCCACCGUGCCUGACAAGCCUGAUAUGUUUUUUUAAAUGAUCAUUAGUAUUUGAUCUCUACUCUUUUUCUCUCAACCACCCAACUCCCGGUUUACGGUCAGGAAGAAUCUAUAACAUGAACUCCUGCUUAAAAACAAGGGUAUAGAUCCCAUAUUCAGGUCUUAGACUGGGAAGAAGAGAAGGCAGUCAAAAAUAUUAAAUAUAUGAAUUUCAGUAAAUUCAGUUGGGGAUGCCAUUUCAGCUUUGCAGUCAGUUACUCCAGAAUAUGUCAAUGUAUGGCAAAGCAUGUGACAGCAGGAUCUCUGCACCCUCUCCAUUUACCAGCUGUGGUGGAUCUCUUAGCCACAUCUCUGUUUAUAAUGUGCUUAUUGAAAACUAAUGUAUUACUUUUAUUAUCAUAGCUACCAUUUACUGAAUAUUUACAUUGUGCUAACACUGGUUCAGAUGGCUUCAUCAUAUUUACCUGAUUUAAUCCUCACAACAACCUUAUGUGCUAGGUCCAGUUAUUACCAUCUUUUUUUUUUUUUGAGACGGAGUCUCACUCUGUCGCCAGGCUGGAGUGCAGUGGCGCGAUUUCGUCUCACUGCUGCAACCUCCGCCUCCCAGGUUCAAGUGAUUCUCCUGCCUCAGCCUCCCAGGUAGCUGGGACUACAGGCACAUGCCACCACGCCCAGCUAAUUUUUGUAUUUUUAUAGAGACGAGACUUCACCAUGUUGGCCAGGAUGAUCUCAAUCUCUUGACCUCGUGAUCCGCCCAUCACAGCCUCCAAAAGUGCUGGGAUUACAGGCGUGAGCCACCGCACCCGGCCUAUUACCCUCAUUUUACAGAUGAGGAGACUGAGGCACAGAGAGUUAAAGUGAUUUGUGCAGGGUUGUGUGAGGAGCUGGUGGCAGAGCUUGGCAUUCUGGCUCUGGAGUCUGCAUUUGGCCAUCUCACCGUACAGUGUCAUAGAAACAGGAAACUCGAGAAGAUAAACUGCCAGGCUGUAUUUUGGAGUCAGUAUUUUAACACUGUCACCAUCUCAAGCAUGAUCUGUGGGACUCAUCACUGUGCUCUUUGACUUGAACUUCUUUAAGGUUAGUGGGAAAAUGAAGCUUUAGAGAAGAUGGGACUGGCCUAAGGUCACACUGCAUGUCAGAAGUGUGGUGGAGGGUCCAGGUCUUCUGACCAUUCAGUGCAAGCCAAAUUGUGCUAAUUUCCAAUUUUUCUCCCUUUCUCUUGGUGAGCUAUUUGGUGCUACUUCUACUCCUCAUGACCAAAGCUGGCUUUCAUGGUUUACUCAUGUACUUACUGAUGAAACCCUGAGACUUGGGGCCAGUGACUGUUCAGAGGUCCAUGUGAAGAUGCGCUGAAUGGUAUAAAGGACAGAGCAGUAAAGAGUGCUGGCUGAAUGCCUGGGCUGGCAAUCAGGCAUGUUGGAGUUUGAGUCCCAGUCUGCCACUCCAGCUCUGUGACCAAGAGGAAGUGAAGUCAUGUACCCUUUCUAAGUCUCUAGCCCCUCUUCUGAAAGACGAAGAUGCCACCACCAACCAUGUUAGUGGUUGUGAAUGCCAAGAAAGUCCAUGUGAAGCACAUAGCAUAGUGUCUGCCAUGCGUUAAGUGUUCCAAAAAUGGAAGCUAUGACUAUUUCACAGAGUACACUUCCCAUCACUUUUCAGUUCAUUUUGGCCUUCUCCCUCAAAAGCACUCCAGUGUUCUGAUCCAGCUGAUAAAACACCAAACAUUCACAUAGUGCUUUAAAAGUGACCCACUGUUUUUACAGACUGCAUUACAUAUGACCCUAACAACCACUGCAAUAUAGAAAUUCGCAUCUCCAUUCUCCAGAUCAGGAUACCGAAGCUCAGAAAAAUUAAAUGAUUUGCCCAGGAUCACAUAGUUAGUAAGCAGCCCAGCCAGAUCCUGUGUUAACUUGUUCAUCCGCUUCCUAUAAGAAAACAUCCAUUCAAGGCACAUGGGGCAACAAAGAAGGACUUAGAGCUGUGUGGCCCCUCGUCAGGGCAGUACCAGUUGCACCCAUAGUCCGGCCUGAAUACUCAGCUUAGGACUAUUGUGUCCAAUGUCCCAAACAUUUUGAAGCUACAUCUUAAAGAAGUGUCCUGCUCAGAUGCAGUUCUCCUUGUGAAAUCCGCAGGCCCCAAGGAAAGUGACUUUAAUCCAGUUUGCUCAUGCAAGAACAGACUGGCAUUUCACAUCCAGGAAAACAAUGGAUUUGUACUGUUCAGCUUUUGCCAUGCAAGGAGUUCCUGGUGUGGUUUAUUAAUUUACAUCUCAGGCUCCAGCUUCACUAUCAAUCAGAUUUGGAAGAAAAAAGUUACAAAGAAAGGCAGCUUGCUGAGAAACAGCGGAAGCAUGACGGUACAGACUGGGUUUUGAAAUGGAGACACAUUCUCAUGGCUUGUGGGCUGAGAGACACUGAGAAAGGAUUUUGUUCUUGAAAGAUGAUUGUUUUAAUGCUGGAGAUGGAGAGUUUUGACAAUUUUAAGUGCAUGUUCUGUGUGUAAGAAAGAGUCAUUACGUUUUUUUUUUCUUUCAGAUGUUGCCAUGCCUUAAAAUUGCUGAUGAUUAAAAUAGAACAUCCUGAGUUACAGAAAUUCAGCCCUAGUGUAUCCUGGCCUAAAAAUACAGAACAAUCAAGUUGAUUGUUGGAAAUGAGAGGCUAGGCAGGGUUGGAAACAUGCUAAUGUUUACUGAGUGAAAUCUUUCCUUCUCAGUAGAGUUGCCCUUGCAGCUGAAAGUCACUGAAAGACUCAACAAAAUAAGCAGAUCCCACUUGUCUCACUCUGUUCUCCUAUGCAUGCCCUGGAAAGAGAAUGAAUGAGCCCUUUUUAAUUUAUCAACUGGUUUUCUUCCAUCUCUUUACUAGUGAGCCAUGGGGGUUUUUUGCCGUUAACUGGGUAGCCAGUCUCUUCAUGGAGACUUAUUUUCAGGAAACUAGCCUCUUGCUUUAUGUGAAAACAAGGACCCAACUCAAGAUGUCUUAUCACAGUGUGUUCUGUUGCGUAACAGUUGCAUCUGUAGUCCAGCCUCAAUACUCAGGUUGGGACUGUUUUGUCCUGAUGUCUCGAACAUUUCAAAGCUACGUUCUUAAAGAAAUGUCCUGCUCAGAUAGAGCUCUCCUUGUGAAAUCCUCAAACCCCAGGGGAAGUGACCUUAAGCCAGUUUGCUGGCUUUUCAUGUCACAGAAAACAAUCGACUGCCACUACUCAGCUGUUGCCACACAGGAGUACCUGGCGUGGUCACUACUUGCCAACUCAGUACCCCACUUUCUCCCCAAGGACAUAAAAGCAAUGUGGGAAGAUAUACCAAAUGACCUUGUCACACUGGGCUAAUAUGAAGAGCCCACAGAUGCAAAAUAAUGUAUCAUACCUUUAUUCUUCUGAUUUUUUUUUUUUUUUUUUUUUUCGGAGACAGUCUCACUCUUUUGCCCAGGCUGGAAUCCAGUGGCGCGAUCUUGGCUCACUGCAACCUCUGCCACCCGGGUUCAGGCAAUUCUCCUGCCUCAGCCUCCCGCCCAGCUAAUUUUUGUAUUAUUAAUUAGUAGAGAGAGGGUUUCACCUUCUUGGCCAGGCUAGUCUUGAACUCCUGACCUCGUGAUACACCUGCCUUGGCCUCCCAAAGUGCUGGGAUUACAGGCGUGAGCCACCGUGCCUGGCCUUUUUUUUUUUUUUUUUUUUUUUUUUUUGAGAUGGAGUCUGGCUGUAUUGCCCAGGCUGGAGUGCAGUGGCAUGAUCUUGGCUCACUGCAACCUCUGCCUCCCAGGUUCAAGUGAUUCUCCUGCCUCAGCCUCCUGAGUAGCUGGGAUUGCAGGCAUCCCAUACCCGGCUAAUUUUUUUGAAACAGAGGCUUGCUCUGUCACCCAGGCUGGAGUGCAAUGGCACGAUCUCAGCUCAGUGCAACCUCCGCCUACUGGGCUCAAGCAACUCUCCUGCCUCGGCCUCAGCCUCACUACAGGCAUGUGCCACCACGCCUGGCUAGUUUGGUUUUUUUUUUUUGUAUUUUUUUAGUAGAUAUGGGGUUUCACCAUGUUGGCCAGGUUGGUCUCAAACUUCUGACCUCAAGUGAUCUGCCUGCCUCAGCCUCCCAAAAUGCUGGGAUUACAGGUAUGAGCCACCACGCUUAGCCUUCUGCUGAAUUUUUGAGAAGCAUACAUAAAGACAAUGUAAAAAACUUAGCAUAUUUGUUUGGCCCUGCUAAGGGCAUGGUUGAAUAUAUAGUGUGUGUGAUGUAUUUGGUGUAUGAGAUAUAUAUGAUCUUAUCAGACAUAAGUAAAAGAAAUUCAUUCUUCAGGAAAAAUUUUCCCCAUAACUGAAGUGUCAAUCAUUUGAAAAAACUUCUAGGCAGUAGGCAAACACUGUGACUAGUUAUUUAUCAAAAAUAAGCAGACUUUAGAGUUUUGUAACUGAUGAGAAUAAUCUGGCUGCUUCUUUUGUACUUCAGUCACUGAUACUGCGAAUUAGAGUAGCAUAUACAGAAGGAUGCAGGGGGUCCCUAAAGGAAUCACAGAAUUAGUGAAACCAUUAUUUGAGAGUUGCAGUGAUUCUUCUGUCCUGGCACUUUUCCCAGUUUUGGUGCUUAAAUUUACUAUCCACUUGAAAUGUGUCACUGCCUGUCACUUCACAAAGUAUGUGCCUUUCACUGCAGUCAACAAGCUGUUUACAUCUUUGAUGAAAUGAUUGCCACGCAUCUCCAUAGCCCUGGUGUUCUAUUCCCUUAUUCACAGAGAUUUUUUUUAAAAACCAGCCUAGCAGCAAUAGGUAUGUGCUGUGGAUGCUUCUCCAUGAUGAUAAAGGAUGAGUUUGUGCUGGGAUCUCCUUAUGAAAAGAUAACUGGCCAAGCCCAUGAGGAACAAGAAUGUUAUGCUAAUCAGACCCAAGGUAAACAGCCUGCAGUGCACCUCCUGACUGAUUAGCACUGAACCCACUUGGAAUCAUCAACCACAGUUUAUAAAAACAGUGCACACCCCUUUAAUUAGGUGGCCUGGGUACAUGAAGUAUCUUUUUGGAUGCCUAGAACACAAAAAGGGACGACAACAGGCCACCUAAUAAGAUGAUACCAAGAACUAUACCAUGACGGCGAAAAAGAACUGCUGCAAAAAAUAAUUUGCCAAGGAGAACUCAGAGUACAAAGCCUUACCUUUGGAGUAGAGGGAAGGAGAGUCUUAAGUAAAGCUCACAAAAACCCCUAACUCAUAGAUGCAGUCUAAGGAAUUCAUUCCGGAAGCGACAUUAGCAUCUCAUUAGUGCCAUUAUGUGACUUACUUGGCCUCUGAGCUAGUCUAUUUUCUUCCCUAGACCCCAAAAUCUCAGUAAUCCUUUGGAUCCAAGUUAUCUCCAAGUGAAAAUAAUAGGUUUAGGAAAGCGUUUUUCUUCAACUUCUAUGGAGCACUUGCUUGCUUUGUCCUAUUUGCAUGUCCGACGGACGGUUCUCCAGCACCACUGCUAGUCGUCCUCCGCCUGCCUGGGUACUUGAUCACAGGAUGCCUCUGACUUCUCCUGCCUUUACCCAAGCAAAGGAUUUUCCUUGUCUUCCCACCCAAGAGUGACGGGGCUGACAUGUGCCCUUGCCUCUAAAUGAUGAAGCUGAACCUUUGUCUGGGCAACUUAACUUAAGAAUAAGGGAGUCCCAGGCAUGCUCUCCCAUCAAUAACAAAUUCAGUGACAUCAGUUUAUGAAUAUAUGAAAUUUGCCAAAGCUCUGUUUAGACCACUGAGUAACUCACAGCUAGGUUUCAACUUUUCCUUUCUAGGUUGUCUUGGGUUUAUUGUAAGAGAGCAUUAUGAAGAAAAAAAUAGAUCAUAAAGCUUCUUCAGGAAGCUGGUUUCAUAUGGUGGUUUAGAUUUAAAUAGUGAUUGUCUAGCACCAUUUGAAAUCAGUGUUCUUGGGGGAGACCAGCUGCGCUGCACUACCAACAGCAAAAGAAGUGAAUGGGACAGCUCUGAAGUAUUUGAAAGCAACAGCAGGAUGGCUGUGAGAACCUGCCUCACAUGUAGCUGACCCCUUCCUCACCCCUGCCAACAGUGGUGGCAUAUAUCACAAAUGGCAGUCAGGUCUCUGCACUGGCGGAUCCAACUGUGAUCGAAAGUUUUCCAAAAAUAAGUUGUGUCUGUAUUGAACAUGAACAGACUUUCUUCUUGUCAUUAUUCUCUAACAAUACUGCAUAACAAUUAUUUGCAUACAUUUGCAUUGCAUUAAGUAUUCUAAGUAAUCUAGAGACGAUUUAAAGUAUACGGGAGGAUGUGUGUAGGUUGUAUGCAAAUACUACACCAUUUUCUAUCAGAGACUUGAGCAUCUGUGGAUUUUGGUAUCCAAGGGGCUUUCUGGAACCAAUCCCUCAAGGAUACCAAGGGAUGAAUGUAAUUGUACAGGAUAUCGCAUUGUUGGAAUUUUAUACUUCUUUGUGGAAUAAACCUAUAGCACUUAAUAGAUAGUACAGACUCAUUCCAUUGUGCCUGGGUUAAAGAGCCCAAUGUAUGCUGGAUUUAGUAAGAUUUGGGCCCUCCCAACCCUCACGACCUUCUGUGACCCCUUAGAGGAUGACUGAUUUCUUUUGGUGUUCAGAGUCAAUAUAAUUUUCUAGCACCAUCUGAAAUCGGUUAUAAUGAUUGGGGAAGAGCACCAUGAUGCUGACUGCUGAGAGGAAAUGUAUUGGUGACCGUUGGGGCCAUGGACAAGAACUAAGAAAACAAAUGCAAAGCAAUAAUGCAAAGGUGAUUUUUCUUCUUCCAGUUUCUAAGUUGAAUUUCACUGACCUGAAUUGCAUGUGGUAUAAUACUAACAAAUGGUUCACUAUUAGCAUAUCAUGAAUGGUUAUACUUUAUAGAAAUUCCAUAGACUUGGUGGGGGUUUUGUUUUGGUGACGGAUACCUAGAAACACUCCUGGGGAAAAUCGAUGACUGGCUUAGAUGAUGGGAAAGGAGCAGCGAGGGAGUCAAUUCUGUUGUUGAUGAGAAGCUGCACCAGCUAUCUCUGAACUCUCCUCUCUUAGCUGGCUGAGGAGUUCCCUCCAUGGUUAAACAGGUCAUUUUCUUACAUAAGGAAAAAUGGUCCAGAGAAACUGGGUUUCUAUGGCUGAGACAGAACUGUGCUAAUAUGUGUCAGUUCAGUUUAGAAGGCAAAGCAACAAAAGCAGGUGCUACUUGAACUAGGAUCCUAGAGUAUACCUUUGAUAUGGUUUGGAUGUUUGUCCCCUCCAAUCUCAUGUUGAAGUGUGAUCCCCAGUGCUUGCACCCUCACGACAUGCUCUCUCUCUCUCCCUCUCCUCUUUUCUCUCUUCUCUCCCUUCUCUCCUCUCUCUUAUCUCUCUCUUCUCUCUCUCGUACACAUACUCUGGAAAGCCAGCUACCAUACUGGGAACUGCCCAAUGGAGAGGCCCACAUUCCACAAGGAACUGAUGUCUUCAGCCAAUACCUCGCCAGGACCUGAGGCCUGCUGAGAGUCACGAGUGGCCUUCGUGGGUCCUCUCUCAACGAGCUUGCAGGUGACCACUGCGCCAGCCAAAACCUUGAUGGCAGCCUAUGAGUGAGUGACCCUGAGCCAGAAGACCCAGUUAAGCCAUGCCCAGGAUCCUGACCUGCAGAAACUAUGACAUAAUAAAUUUAUUGUUUUAUGCCACUAACUUUUGGGGUUACUUAUGCAGCAAUAGAUAGCUAAUACAGCUCAUAGUAUCCUUAUCUAGCCUCAAACAUUCUGCCUUUAGUAUCUAACUUUCCUAACUUUUUAGAUAAACUUUUUUGGGGGGGAUAAUUUUAGAUUUACAGAAAAAAGGCAAAGAUAGUAUAGAGAGUUCCUUUAUAUUUCUCUCCUAGUUUCCUCUAUUGUUCAUAUCUCAUAAAACGAUGGUUUUGGGUUUUUUGAGACGGCGUCUCACUCUGUCACCCAGGCUAGAGUGCAGUGGUGAUCAUAGCUCACUGCAGCCUUGAACUCCUGGCUCAAGGGAUCUUACUACCUCAGCUUCCCAAGUAGCUGGGUUCACAGCAUGUACCACCACACAUGGCUAAUUAAAACAUAUAUAUAUUAUAUAAUAUAUAUAUUUUAAGUUAUUAGUAAGUAUAUCAAAUACUGCUCCAGAUUUACAAAUGGUUAUUUUCCACUAUGAUGUCAAUACACAUUAAUUUG
rnacentral:lncRNA from 1 species